UGGAAAUGUAUUGCCAUAAGGUAUCACUGAGGUCAAGCUUAUAUUAGUUGUGUGUCUCUCUCUGUUCAGCAGCAAGCAACCCUAGAAGUCCUGCUCAGAAAGCCAGUUUAUUUGGUAAACUGAGAAGGUGAAGAAGAAAUCCUUCAUGCUUCUUCCUGUUUGCCAGAAAUUCCUGUUACUGCUGACUGCUCAAGUCAGGAUUUGAGGGUCAUUGCCAAAGUUUAGAAAAUUAACUUGAAACCAACUUGGAAGCCUUCUGCACAGACUCCACUUCUGCACGCCACGAGUCGGCUCCCUGCUCCCAGGCUCAUUCCUGCCUUCACCUCAUCUGCACAGAAGGCACCGCCCGAGGUUCAGCGCUGUAACCACUCUGAAAGGCACCUUUUCACCAGGUAAACGG